AGGAGGUGAACGUUGGAGAGGAGGGGAGGAGAGAGAGUCUUCUGGAAGAGUGAAUGCUAUCUGUUCUCAAGAUAAACCAAAAAGGAAAUAUAGUAUGGACCAAGAGACCUUUAACCAAAUAGAAGUGAACAUCGGAUGUCAAAUGGUCUAAAGGAAAAAACAUACAAUGGCAGGUGGUACUAACUACCAAGAAACAAAAAAUU
rnacentral:lncRNA from 1 species